rnacentral:rRNA from 1 species
AGAACGAACGCUGGCGGCAGGCCUAACACAUGCAAGUCGAACGCUCCGCAAGGAGAGUGGCAGACGGGUGAGUAACGCGUGGGAAUUUCCCCCAAGGUUCGGAAUAACUGAGGGAAACUUCAGCUAAUACCGAAUGGUACCGAGAGGUUAAAGAUUUAUCGCCUUGGGAUGAGCCCGCGUUGGAUUAGCUAGUUGGUGAGGUAACGGCUCACCAAGGCUUUGAUCCAUAGCUGGUCUGAGAGGACGACCAGCCACACUGGGACUGAGACACGGCCAGACUCCUACGGGAGCAGCAGUGGGGAAUCG